rnacentral:rRNA from 1 species
GGCCGAAAGGCGUAGGUGAUGGACAACAGGUUGAUAUUCCUGUACUACCGAUAACCGUUUGAGAGAAGGGAUGACACAGUAGGAUAAGCUAAGCACACUGUUGGUUAUGUGUGCCCAAGCAUUGAGGCAGUCCAAGUAGGCAAAUCCGCUUUGAUAAUGCUGGGAUGUGAUGGGGAGCGAAAUUUAGUAGCGAAGUAGCUGAUUUCACACUGUCAAGAAAAGUCUCUAUCGAGGUUAAAGGUACCCGUACCGCAAACCGACACAGGUGGGUGAGGAGAGUAUCCUAAGGCCAGCGAGAGAACUGUUGUUAAGGAACUCGGCAAAAUGACCCCGUAACUUAGGGAUAAGGGGUGCCACCAUCAGGUGGCCGCAGAGAAUAGGCCCAAGCGACUGUUUACCAAAAACAUAGGUUUCUGCUAAGUCGCAAGACGAUGUAUAGGAGCUGACGCCUGCCCGGUGCUGGAAGGUUAAGGGGAUCUGUUAGAGCAAUCGAAGCAGUGAACUUAAGCCCCAGUAAACGGCGGCCGUAACUAUAACGGUCCUAAGGUAGCGAAAUUCCUUGUCGGGUAAGUUCCGACCCGCACGAAAGGCGUAACGAUUUGGGCACUGUCUCAACAACAGACUCGGUGAAAUUGUAAUUCCGGUGAAGAUGCCGGAUACCUGCGACAGGACGGAAAGACCCCAUGGAGCUUUACUGUAGCUUGACAUUGGGUCUUGGUACUACAUGUACAGGAUAGGUGGGAGGCUUUGAAACCAGGACGCCAGUUUUGGCGGAGCCAUCCUUGGGAUACCACCCUUGUAGUACUGGGACUCUAACCAUAGGCCAUGAAUCUGGUCUUGGGACACUGUCAGGUGGGCAGUUUGACUGGGGCGGUCGCCUCCCAAAAGG